rnacentral:lncRNA from 1 species
UAUAUAGGGAUAGAGUAGGAUUAAACUUCUUAACUCGGUUAUAAUAUUUUGGACGGAGACUAGGCCAAAAAAAUUAAGAGAGUUCAAUAUGUUAGGGCUAGAGUUGUUCUAAGAUGAGUGACUCCGUGAAAAGUAGGACAUCACAGUUAACAUCAGAGCCAAUCACCGAUAAGAAGUAUGAUAUGAGUUUCGAUUAAGCUAGAGUAAUACAAUGCUUAAAGUAUGGCUCUCCCGCUGACGACCAUUGUAGGUAGAGUGCGGCUCCGUACAAGGUCAGUUAAAGCUAGUGAAACGAGUCUCAUCUCAUCUGCUACUU